rnacentral:lncRNA from 1 species
AUAACCUUAGCCACUUCGAAAUAUGUGCUCUAUUCUUUUCAUCUUGAUCACAAAAAACCAUUUCCAUUUAAAUAUGCAUUAAAAAUAAAGGGGAUAAUUACUAUCAUUUUCUUAAUGUUAUUAAGAACAUUACCUCAAAUGCAGCAAAAUAUCACAAGCCAUAUUUUAGUUAAAUAAAUAUAUGGCGUCAGACUGUUAUACUGCUGAACUUUGGUACGAAAACAUCUAAUAAAAGACUCUAAGGAAGUGCAGCUACUAGCUAAUAGUAACAUCUGCACAUUUCUAGGGGCAUUGCUUCACAUAUUUAUACAAGUUUGAUGCUUUGGUACAAUCAAGUAGAGCUGACAAAAUUCUUCAGAAAAAGAAAUAGGGAAUUCUCAGAAGCUAAAGAUUUGUUUUACUUGCCCUGUACAACUCAUCCUAGCCAAAAAAUGCACAAAGAAAAAGUAGAAAACAGUUCUAG